rnacentral:tRNA from 1 species
CAAGAAAUAGUUUAAUAAAAUAUUAAUUUUGGAGAUUAAAGUUAAGGAAGAAUCCUUUUUCUUAA